rnacentral:misc_RNA from 1 species
AAGUCGUAACAAGGUUUCCGUAGGUGAACCUGCGGAAGGAUCAUUGGGAAGAGUGGGGGAGAGAUGUUGGAAUGAAAUAUAGAUAUCACGUGACAAAAAGAUUUUAUUCAAUAUGACUAGCCACCUGGGAUCUCUGGGCUCUU